UUUCAGAGCCCUUCGUGAUGCUGGUCACCCUCCACUGGGCAGUCUGUCCAGCUAAAACCCUGCCUCCAGCCCCCAACGUGAAGUUCCAAGUGCAGCCUGGCUGACGUGGUAUACAGUGGGACGACUACUUCCCUAACUCUAGAUGCCUGAUCUCCAGUAACACCACCCACGAUGACACCAGGAAAACCCCAUAGCCAACAUUAUAGUUAAUGGUGAAGGAAUGAACACCUUCCCCCUAAGGUCAGGAACAAGACAAAGAUGGCGACUUUCAUCUCUUAUUUCAACAUCAUACUAGAGGUUCCAGCCAGGCAAAGCAGAUGGAACACGAACCUGACCACUGCCUUUAAAGAUCAGGGACAUUUUCUGGAUGGAACUAAUGCCUUGGAAACAGCACAGACUCAAGCUGUUUGGAAACAGGGUCCCACCGCAGCAAGGUGGGACAGAGAGGACCAAGCUGGUGAAAGCAAGCACAUCCCACUUACUUUGUUGUCAUCUCCGUAUUUGAUCAUUUCGUGAGCAAAGUCAUCGGUGGGUUUGACACGGACAAAGGUAUGAACUUUUUUCCUAGUACCCAUUCUAGCUAAAAAGAAGAAAACAGUGCAGCUUUCAGUAGUUAUCAUCAAGUGGCAACGCAGUAAGAAGAUCAGAAUGGAGUGACUGACACUCGGUCUGUGUUCUCCUGUCCCAAAGAGACCCAGUCUUCCUUCUCACCCCUUCGAGUGUCAGUGCUCUACCCACAGGACCUGCUGUUCAACAAGUACAGGCGCUUCCUACUUUACAGGCUGCCUCACCAUUUUCCACCAUGGCCCCCUAAGAGACAGAAACACGAAGCAAGAAGAACGCUCCCUUUAGUGGCCUAAUCUUAGACGUGUUUCCUAAAAAUGGUCUGUACCUAAAAAUGUCCGCUUAUGCUUUGCCUCAUUCAUUAUGCUUUCAUCUAAAAUACUGACUAUGAAAUGCAUUUAAACUUAAUUUUCUUGUCUUCACGAACAUAUGUUAUUUCAGACGCAGCAGCCCCUCCUUUACCUCCGUUUGACCAGCUUAGAUCUGAAAAUGAUUCCCUAGAAGUGUAUUUAAUCUAGUCCACGAUCAGAUACUCUUUCUUUUCUGACAGUCCAUUGAAAAAAAAUCAAACAGCCCUCUACCUCCUCGUCUUCUCGUCAACCUAACUAGAGUUUCAUCAUUUUCUUUCAGGUAGAUCCACUUAAUCUGUAUUCCUUUAUUUAUACUACCACAAAUAAUUACCGUGUAUAACAAAAUGUCAAAAUAAAUGCUUGGUGUGGCUUCAUGGAAUAGGAUGUAAGCAUGGAGAUGUAUGUGUUUAGGGAGGGAGAUUUAGGUAAAUGACCUUCCUACUAUGUAGAGCUGUCCUAUAAUGGAAAAGACUCAAGCAAGGUCAAGAUGCCAGCUAGCAGAGAUGCUACCAAAGGGACCGUUGCACUGAGGGGAGAGUUAAUUAAUUUCUAAGAUCCUGUCCAACUGAAGUAUUUUAUUAAAAUUUAAAAAAAUUGA